rnacentral:rRNA from 1 species
AGUGAACGCUGGCGGUAGGCCUAACACAUGCAAGUCGAACGGCAGCACAGUAAGAGCUUGCUCUUACGGGUGGCGAGUGGCGGACGGGUGAGGAAUACAUCGGAAUCUACUUUUUCGUGGGGGAUAACGUAGGGAAACUUACGCUAAUACCGCAUACGACCUACGGGUGAAAGCAGGGGAUCUUCGGACCUUGCGCGAUUGAAUGAGCCGCUGUCGGACUAGCUAGUUGGCGGGGUAAAGGCCCACCAAGGCGACGAUCCGUAGCCGGUGUGAGAGGCUGGUCGGCCACACUGGAACUUGAACACGGACCAGGCUCCUAAGAGAGGCAGCAGUGGGGAAUAUUGGACAAUGGUGGCAAGCCUGGUACAGCCAUACCGCGUGGGUUGAGAAGGCCUUGCGUUUGUAAAGCCGUUUUGUUGGGAAAGAAAAGCAGCAGGUUAAUACCCCGCUGUUCUGACGGUACCCAAAGAAUAAGCACCGGCUAACUUCGUG